AACGAACGCUGGCGGCAGGCUUAACACAUGCAAGUCGAACGGGUGUAGCAAUACAUCAGUGGCAGACGGGUGAGUAACACGUGGGAACCUUCCUAGGGGUACGGAACAACUCAGGGAAACUUGAGCUAAUACCGUAUACGUCCGUGAGGAGAAAGUUUUAUCGCCAUUAGACGGGCCCGUGUCGGAUUAGCUAGUUGGUGGGGUAACGGCCUACCAAGGCGAAGAUCCGUAGCUGAUCUUAGAGGAUGAUCAGCCACACUGGGACUGAGACACGGCCCAGACUCCUACGGGAGGCAGCAGUGGGGAAUCUUGGAAAAUGGGCGCAAGCCUGAUCCAGCCAUGCCGCGUGAGUGAAGAAGGUCUUCGGAUUGUAAAGCUCUUUUGCCAGGGACGAUAAUGACGUUACCUGGAGAAUAAGCCCCGGCAAACUUCGUGCCAGCAGCCGCCGUAA
rnacentral:rRNA from 1 species